rnacentral:rRNA from 1 species
GAUGAACGCUGGCGGCGUGCCUAAUACAUGCAAGUCGAGCGAACAGACGAGGAGCUUGCUCCUCUGACGUUAGCGGCGGACGGGUGAGUAACACGUGGAUAACCUACCUAUAAGACUGGGAUAACUUCGGGAAACCGGAGCUAAUACCGGAUAAUAUAUUGAACCGCAUGGUUCAAUAGUGAAAGACGGUUUUGCUGUCAGUUAUAGAUGGAUCCGCGCCGCAUUAGCUAGUUGGUAAGGUAACGGCUUACCAAGGCAACGAUGCGUAGCCGACCUGAGAGGGUGACCGGACAAAUUGGGACUGAGAUACGGCCCAGACGCGGACGGGAGGCAGCAGUGGGGAAUAUUGCACAAUGGGCGGAAGCCUGAUGCAGCAACGCCGCGUGCGGGAUGACGGCCUUCGGGUUGUAAACCGCUUUCGCCUGUGACGAAGCGUGAGUGACGGUAAUGGGUAAAGAAGCACCGGCUAACUACGUG